UGGAUGUUGACAUGAUGAUGCAAGCUCGCCAGUGUUUAAAACCAAUAUUUAGCUUGAAUUAGCCACUGCAGUAUAAAGAAGGAAGCAGACCAGAAACCUUUGGCUAAAGUAAAGAUGAUUAUGCAUAUCAAAAGCAGUUACAUAAUUCACAAGAGUCUGAAGUUAUGAUGACCAUGCAGAGUCGAGAUAUUGUAACAAAGACAUGCCUGCAUGAAGAAGACUGUUCACUCAAUUUUUCAGAAUAAUGUGUUGGAUUGAAAUUCAUCUUAUGUUGGACAAAACAAUCAGGACAUUCUUCUGGAUCACAGCUAGCACAAAGUAUUGACAAAACCAAAGAUUCAUCAUUACCUGGUAGUCUGCAAAUGGAGUGAUCAUUGGAUGAGCCAGACAACACCAUUUUCC